rnacentral:rRNA from 1 species
UACGUAGGUGGCAAGCGUUGUUCGGAUUCAUUGGGCGUAAAGGGUGCGUAGGCGGCGCGGUAAGUCGGGUGUGAAAUCUCGGAGCUUAACUCCGAAACUGCAUUCGAUACUGCCGUGCUUGAGGACUGGAGAGGAGACUGGAAUUUACGGUGUAGCGGUGAAAUGCGUAGAUAUCGUAAGGAAGACCAGUGGCGAAGGCGGGUCUCUGGACAGUUCCUGACGCUGAGGCACGAAGGCCAGGGGAGCAAACGGG